rnacentral:lncRNA from 1 species
GUAAAUCGCUUUCCAUUUCUUUUAGGAAAAUACUCGUUAAAGCUAUUUAUUCCAUUACAAAAAAAUACUUAAAAUAUUACUUUAUUUUGUAGCGGAAAUUUCUAAGUUAUUAAAUUUGAAAAAAUGUGACUUAGUGUAUAAAAACAUAUAAUUUUUCAUUUUUAAAUAAUAAAUCCUAAAUUCAAAAAAAAAAUCAAACCAAAAAUGGAAAAAAAGUCG